CUCAGAAUGACCCACACCACUGGAUUUUUUUGUUUUUUUUGAGUCUUGCUCUGCUCCCCAGGCUGGAGUGCAUUGGCGUGAUCAUAGCUUACUACAGCCUCGACUUCCCAGGCUCAAGGGAUCCUCCCACCUCAGCCUCUGGAGUAGCUGGGAUCACAGGUGCACGCUACCAUGCCCAGCUAAUUUUAAAAAUUUUUCGUAGAAUUGGGGUCUCUCUAUGUUGUCCAAGCUGGUCUUGACCUCCUGGGCUCAAGUGAUCCUCCUGCCUCAGCCUCCCAAGUAGCUGGAACCACAGGUGUGCACCACCACGCCCAGCUACUUAAAAAAUUUUUUUUAGACAUGGGGUCUUGCUAUAUUACCCAGGAUGGACCCCUGGAUCUUUAUUGAGAUAGCAGACCCCUGAACCACUCUAGGGCUUAUCCCCCACUCUCUGCAAUGCAUGGGUGCCUUACAAGGGCAUGUAGGGUAUGUUCCACUUCCUGCUUACCAGGUCUGAUUAGCAUGGCAUCUUCAGUGUAGCAUCCCUAUGUGAUGUUCUGUGGGAUGUCCAGAUGAUUAAGGUCCCUGUAAAUGUGUACUGCUGCUAUUCCAGCUUCUCUCUUCGGAGGACCCCUGUGAUUCCUUCCAGCCCCUCAGGAUCGUCCCCCACCUCCAGAUGCUGAACUCGGUCUCAGCUGCAAAGUCCCUUUUGCAUAUAAGGGUGGCUCCUCCUGCCUGACACCCUCCUCCCACCCUUCAUCCACCAACUCCUGUGCAUCUCAGGGCCCGCUUGGCUGUUACCUCCCCAGGGAAGACUUCAGGACUGGCCAGGUUCCUGUGGAUGCAACAGAAACAGAUUCUGCUCUCAGGCUUGGGUCUACCCGAGUCAUUGCCGCCGUCUCUGCUACACCGGCUGGGCGCUCCCGUGGGCAUCCGAAGCCCUUGGCACAUAUAUCAGUCCUGGCCCCGACUGCAACCACAGUCCUCAAUGGCUGACUUGCCCGUCGCCUCCCUGCCCCGCCUGCUCCUGGUGACCAGGACCCCACCCUAUUCAGUUGACCACUGUGGGUCAGCAUAGCGCCCAGCCAUGACUGCUCAAAGACCAUGGCACGCAGCAGGGACUUGAGGGGCAGCUCCAAACUCCAGAACGCGAAGAACUCGGUGGUUCCCCACAAGGCAGAUGGAGGGGAAACUGAGGCUGGGAAGCUGAGUCCUUUCUGCCUGGGGCUUCCUCUCUCAAGAAAGGAGGCCGGUGGCGCACAUUUGGAAAAGUGUCUAGCAGUAUCAGCAAAGCUAAACAGAUGCUCACCCCCUGGCCCAGCAAAUCCACCAUGGGUCACACCUGCUGCAAUAAUGAAUUGGGAGUGCAUUAGGCUGAGAUGACGCCAAUACCUUCGGUUCUGACAGAAGCAAACGGAAACCCAACGCAGAGGGAAUGGUCCCAGUCUAGGAAACCAAGAGACUCAAGCAUAACCAAUGAGAAACUGCCAAGUAACCUCUAACUAGGGACUUUCCACUUUAAUUAACCAAAUGUUUUCUUUGUCUUGCUUUUGCAAGCCUCUUAUAAAAGUUUUCCCCUGAUGGCCCCUCGGCAGAGCCUGGGUAGCUCUAGAUCCAGUGCUGCUCAAUUCAUGAACUGCUGAACGUUCAAAUAAACUUAUUGCAAAUUUUAAUGUGCUCAAGUCUGUCUAACAUACCCAGUGGGAAUGAGUGUGGAUGUCCCCCAAGACAUUAUUCCAUGAUCGUCGAGAGAAGCCUUACUUAAGACAGCCUCGAACUGGAAUCACCCCAGUGAAACCCUUUAAGAACUCUGGACACCAAAGCUCGGGAGAGCUUCCAGGCUGGUGAGCACAUGGAUGUCACAGGUAGCUGAGCUGCCUGGUUCCCCAGAGAGAGGACAUGAGGCUCGGUGUUCAGGACUCCCCUUGACCUUGCCCCGCACAUCUCUGCAUCUGGCCGGUGCUGAUCUGUAUAUUUUAUAACAAAACUGUUAUCAUAAGUACAGUGCUUCCCUGAGUUCUGUGAGUUGUUGUAGCAAUUUGUUGAACCUGAGGGGUUUGUGGGAACUCCUGAAUUGGUAGCCAGUCAAAAGUGCAGGUGGCCUGGGGACCCCUGAACUUGUAGCUGGUAUCUGAAGUGGGGGCCGUCUUGUUGGGAACCACAUCCUUAAGCCCGUGGAGUCUGACGCUAACUCUAGGCGGUUGUCAGAACUGAAUUACCAUCCGCCAGUCAGGGUUGAAACAGAAUAUUCAGAAACCCCAUGUAGCUGAGCAGAAAUGUGCUUGAGAAGGGAACCCCACAUCUGUUUAGAAAAUGGUUUUAACACAGAGACAUCCAGAAUUGAGUCUGGCAAUGAUGAAGUAGAUCAAAAUGACAGCAUUUAUGUUUUUGUGCUAAGUUCAGAAAUACACAUCUUUGGCAUUUUAAGAACUUACAAAGUUUAAGAGAAUUUGGCAUAUUUGAGUCUUCACAUCAGACGUGUGAUUCUAAUUUUAAAUGUGCUCUUGAGUCAUUGAUUUCUGAGCCCUUCAAACAACCCAUGAGCUCAACCCAUGAUCCCUUCAACCAACCAGCCUGAUGCUAGUAAUCAGCAUCUGUGAUUGCAAGCUGAAAUCUUACUAAGUUGGUAAACAGUUUUUGAAUAUUUAAAAAUCACCAUAAUUAUACGUUUAAUGUAUUUGAUUUAUGAGAAUCACGUAAGGACUUGGGAAGAUUUGUUAGUCAGAUAAUUGAAAAACUUAGAAAAUGGAAUAUAAUAAAUUUUGACUGCAGCUUAAAAUGUUUAAAGGAAUUUAAAUUAACUAAG
rnacentral:lncRNA from 10 species